rnacentral:rRNA from 1 species
AUAUUGGUCAAUGGGCGAGAGCCUGAACCAGCCAAGUCGCGUGAAGGAUGACUGUCUUAUGGAUUGUAAACUUCUUUUAUACGGGAAUAACAAGAGUCACGUGUGGCUCCCUGCAUGUACCGUAUGAAUAAGCAUCGGCUAACUCCGUGCCAGCAGCCGCGGUAAUACGGAGGAUGCGAGCGUUAUCCGGAUUUAUUGGGUUUAAAGGGUGCGUAGGCGGCCUGUUAAGUCAGCGGUGAAAUCUAGGAGCUUAACUCCUAAAUUGCCAUUGAUACUGGCGGGCUUGAGUGUAGAUGAGGUAGGCGGAAUGCGUGGUGUAGCGGUGGAAUGCAUAGAUAUCACGCAGAACUCCGAUUGCGAAGGCAGCUUACUAAGGUACAACUGACGCUGAAGCACGAAAGCGUGGGUAUCAAACAGGAUUAGAUACCCUGGUAGUCCACGCAGUAAACGAUGAUAACUGGGCGUAUGCGAUAUACAGUAUGCUCCUAAGCGAAAGCGUUAAGUUAUCCACCUGGGGAGUACGCCGGCAACGGUGAAACUCAAAGGAAUUGACGGGGGCCCGCACAAGCGGAGGAACAUGUGGUUUAAUUCGAUGAUACGCGAGGAACCUUACCCGGGCUUGAAUUGCAGAGGAAGGAUUUAGAGAUAAUGACGCCCUUCGGGGUCUCUGUGAAGGUGCUGCAUGGUUGUCGUCAGCUCGUGCCGUGAGGUGUCGGCUUAAGUGCCAUAACGAGCGCAACCCCUGUCUACGGUUGCCAUCAGGUAAUGCUGGGAACUCCGUAGAGACUGCCGUCGUAAGGCGUGAGGAAGGUGGGGAUGACGUCAAAUCAGCACGGCCCUUACAUCCGGGGCGACACACGUGUUACAAUGGUAAGGACAAAGGGCAGCUACCUGGCGACAGGAUGCGAAUCUCUAAACCUUAUCACAGUUCGGAUCGGAGUCUGCAACUCGACUCCGUGAAGCUGGAUUCGCUAGUAAUCGCGCAUCAGCCAUGGCGCGGUGAAUACGUUCCCGGGCCUUGUACACACCGCCCGUCAAGCCAUGG